rnacentral:rRNA from 1 species
UAAUACGGAGGGUGCGAGCGUUGUCCGGAAUCACUGGGCGUAAAGGGCGCGUAGGCGGCGCGGGCAGUCAACGGUGAAAGCUUGGGGCUCAACCCCGAGUCGGCCGUCGAUACUCCCGUGCUUGAGCACUGUAGAGGCAGGUGGAAUUCCGGGUGUAGCGGUGGAAUGCGUAGAGAUCCGGAAGAACACCGGUGGCGAAGGCGGCCUGCUGGGCAGUAGCUGACGCUGAGGCGCGACAGCGUGGGGAGCAAACAGGAUUAGAUACCCUGGUAGUCCACGCCGUAAACGAUGGGCACUAGGUGCUUGGGGGAGCGACCCUCUGAGUGCCGGCGCUAACGCAUUAAGUGCCCCGCCUGGGGAGUACGGCCGCAAGGCUG